rnacentral:rRNA from 1 species
UACGGAGGGUGCGAGCGUUGUCCGGAAUCACUGGGCGUAAAGGGCGCGUAGGCGGCUCAUGAAGGCUGUGGUGAAAGUCCGGGGCUCAACCUCGGAUCGGCCGUGGCGACUCGUGGGCUGGAGCACUGUAGAGGCGGGUGGAAUUCCGGGUGUAGCGGUGGAAUGCGUAGAGAUCCGGAAGAACACCAGUGGCGAAGGCGGCCCGCUGGGCAGCGGCUGACGCUGAAGCGCGACAGCGUGGGGAGCAAACAGG